UGAAUGAUUCUGAUAUAGAAGAAGAAAGAAGACUUUGUUAUGUUGGUAUAACAAGAGCAAAAGAAGUUUUAUAUAUGACUUUAACGA
rnacentral:sRNA from 1 species